rnacentral:rRNA from 1 species
UACGGAGCGCGCAAGCGUUGUUCGGAAUUACUGGGCGUAAAGCGCGUGUAGGUGGCCUGGCAAGUCGGGUGUGAAAUCCCGGAGCUCAACUCCGGAACUGCAUCCGAUACUGCCAAGCUCGAGUCUCGGAGAGGAUGGCGGAAUUUCCGGUGUAGAGGUGAAAUUCGUAGAUAUCGGAAGGAACACCAGUGGCGAAGGUGGCCGUCUGGACGAUGACUGACAAUGAGACGCGAAAGCGUGGGGAGCAAACAGG